rnacentral:rRNA from 1 species
CCUGGCUCAGAUUGAACGCUGGCGGCAGGCCUAACACAUGCAAGUCGAACGGUAGCACAGAGAGCUUGCUCUCGGGUGACGAGUGGCGGACGGGUGAGUAAUGUCUGGGAAACUGCCCGAUGGAGGGGGAUAACUACUGGAAACGGUAGCUAAUACCGCAUAACGUCGCAAGACCAAAGUGGGGGACCUUCGGGCCUCACACCAUCGGAUGUGCCCAGAUGGGAUUAGCUAGUAGGUGGGGUAAUGGCUCACCUAGGCGACGAUCCCUAGCUGGUCUGAGAGGAUGACCAGCCACACUGGAACUGAGACACGGUCCAGACUCCUACGGGAGGCAGCAGUGGGGAAUAUUGCACAAUGGGCGCAAGCCUGAUGCAGCCAUGCCGCGUGUAUGAAGAAGGCCUUCGG